AGAGGGAAUGGAUUUAAGGACACACAGCAGGAGCUGGCUGAAUUUAUUUUAUUUUGACGGGGGUAGUUGGGGGAGGAAUAUCAUUUCUGAAAUGCACAAGGAAUGAAGGGAGAGGAUAUGGAUUGCUUAAACAGUUUUUGCAAGAGGAGCGGUGUCUUGUUCUGCAGGUUAGGCUUCUCAGUCCCUCUGGAGCUGCAUGAUGGAGGCAGUAAGCCAGAUAUCUAUUUCCCCUGGUGAGAGCCCCUGAUGGUUUUGACCGCUGAUAACUGAGAAAAUGUUUACAAAUGACAGUACUAGAAAGAAAACCAUGAAGAGCAACAUAAUGGAUGUCAAAAGUUAAGUUUUGUAGGAGCUUGAAAAUUCCUCAGAAAAAAAUGGUCAUGGAUAAGAAAAGAGAAGGAGAAAAUCAGCAGGCAAGAGACUGGUGGGAGUCCUUUGACACAUGAGGAGCCUAAACUAACAUUGUCGUCUGAGAGGACCUCCAGACAACUGUAUGAAUGGGGCUGAAGGAACAUGACAGGUCACGACUUCGGAGAAUGCAGAGAGGAGUGAAGAGCCAUUUGCCAAAGUACAAAAGAGGGAAUGUGAUUCCACAGGAUCUGUGCCAUAAAUAACCCUUAUGGCUCUUAUUCAAUUAGCGCUCCCUUUUCCAAGAGGACAAUCGAUGCUGCCAAACUGGAUGAAAUAUUUAGUUCAAGAUAUGCAGAUCCCUGAGAUCAAACAGACUUUAAUGCUUAGUUGUGAAAUUCUUUCCCUCAAAUCUGCCAUUGAUCAGCUACUCCAGCCCCUCAUCUGAAGAGGAAUUCUGCAGGAUCUGCCUCCUAGGCAUGGGAACAUGACAAUAACUUUCCAGAAUGCUUGUGCCUACACCUUACAACAAACAGACAUGCCUUUGCCAAAAACAUCUCACUUCACAAGAUUGGAGCGGUGGCCCCUUUACUCAAGAAUGAAGUCAACUUCAUGCUGGAAUAAUGAACGUACCGACUUUUAAGAAAUUCCUGUUCUUAUUGUGAGAAGAAAUUUCAUAGUUUCCUCUAUGGUCUUGUUUUGAAAAUUUUAAUGUUUAGACACUAAGUAGUUUAGAUUCUAAGCCUCUCUUGAAAUUCUUCUCUCUAUAUUUAUGUGGAAGACAGAAGACUGGCCAACCAAUGAUGUCUUGGAUGUGUAAAUAUGGUACGUUCCAUGAAAAACCAUGGAAACAAAAUUUGUUACAUUAUAGUAAAGUCAUCAGCUGACCUUCAAAUAAGGAGGUUAUUCUGGAUUAACCAGGCGGGCCCAGUGUAAUCAAAGAGUUCUAAAAAGUGGAGGUGGGAGGCAGAGGCAGAGUCAGUGUUGGAGUGAUACAGUGUGAGAAAGACCCAACCUCCUUAAUAAGAGACUAUCAAGAAUGAUAUACACAAGCCUAUUUAGCAUAACUCAGCAAAAAAUUUUCCCGGAAAAAAAAAAAA
rnacentral:lncRNA from 1 species